UAUCCGGAUUUAUUGGGUUUAAAGGGUGCGUAGGCGGCCUUUUAAGUCAGCGGUGAAAGUCUGUGGCUCAACCAUAGAAUUGCCGUUGAAACUGGGAGGCUUGAGUAUGUUUGAGGCAGGCGGAAUGCGUGGUGUAGCGGUGAAAUGCAUAGAUAUCACGCAGAACCCCGAUUGCGAAGGCAGCCUGCCAAGCCAUGACUGACGCUGAUGCACGAAAGCGUGGGGAUCAAACAGGAUUAGAUACCCUGGUAGUCCACGCAGUAAACGAUGAUCACUAGCUGUUUGCGAUACAGUGUAAGCGGCACAGCGAAAGCGUUAAGUGAUCCACCUGGGGAGUACGCCGGCAACGGUGAAACUCAAAGGAAUUGACGGGGGCCCGCACAAGCGGAGGAACAUGUGGUUUAAUUCGAUGAUACGCGAGGAACCUUACCCGGGUUUGAACGCAUUUCGACCGCUCUGGAAACAGAGCCUUUUCUAGCGAUAGCGAUUUGCGAGGUGCUGCAUGGUUGUCGUCAGCUCGUGCCGUGAGGUGUCGGCUUAAGUGCCAUAACGAGCGCAACCCUUGCCACUAGUUACUAACAGGUAAAGCUGAGGACUCUGGUGGGACUGCCAGCGUAAGCUGCGAGGAAGGCGGGGAUGACGUCAAAUCAGCACGGCCCUUACAUCCGGGGCGACACACGUGUUACAAUGGCGUGGACAAAGGGAUGCCACCUGGCGACAGGGAGCGAAUCCCCAAACCACGUCUCAGUUCGGAUCGGAGUCUGCAACCCGACUCCGUGAAGCUGGAUUCGCUAGUA
rnacentral:rRNA from 1 species